rnacentral:sRNA from 1 species
CCCGCAGUCGGCGUCCAGCGGCUCUGCUUGUUCGUGUGUGUGUCGUUGCAGGCCUUAUUCAUGGGCUCACCGCUGAGGUUCGACGGGCGGGUGGUACUGGUCACCGGCGCGGGGGCAGGAUUGGGCCGAGCCUAUGCCCUGGCUUUUGCAGAAAGAGGAGCGUUAGUUGUUGUGAAUGAUUUGGGAGGGGACUUCAAAGGAGUUGGUAAAGGCUCCUUAGCUGCUGAUAAGGUUGUUGAAGAAAUAAGAAGGAGAGGUGGAAAAGCAGUGGCCAACUAUGAUUCAGUGGAAGAAGGAGAGAAGGUUGUGAAGACAGCCCUGGAUGCUUUUGGAAGAAUAGAUGUUGUGGUCAACAAUGCUGGAAUUCUGAGGGAUCGUUCCUUUGCUAGGAUAAGUGAUGAAGACUGGGAUAUAAUCCACAGAGUUCAUUUGCGGGGUUCAUUCCAAGUGACACGGGCAGCAUGGGAACACAUGAAGAAACAGAAGUAUGGAAGGAUUAUUAUGACUUCAUCAGCUUCAGGAAUAUAUGGCAACUUUGGCCAGGCCAAUUAUAGUGCUGCAAAGUUGGGUCUUCUGGGCCUUGCAAAUUCUCUUGCAAUUGAAGGCAGGAAAAGCAACAUUCAUUGUAACACCAUUGCUCCUAAUGCGGGAUCACGGAUGACUCAGACAGUUAUGCCUGAAGAUCUUGUGGAAGCCCUGAAGCCAGAGUAUGUGGCACCCCUUGUCCUUUGGCUUUGUCACGACAGUUGUGAGGAGAAUGGUGGCUUGUUUGAGGUUGGAGCAGGAUGGAUUGGAAAAUGUAAGUCUCUCUCAGUUUUUGGUUUGUAUAGAUUAUUUCCUUAUCUUUAAACCUACAUAUCCAGUUGAGAUGGGUAAGAUUUUUGUCAAAUGCCUAACCAUUGGAUAUAGUGCUUGCAUAUUCAAACUUAAACAUUGCUAUAGCAACAGGUAUUUUUAAACAUUGUGAUUAUCCUAUAGGUCUGUGGCCCUUUCAAGACCCUAUCUAUUCUUCCUGUAGGUAGUCCUUAUUCAGGACUUGUCCUGUUUUAUUCAGAACUGGCUAUUCCUUCAGACAGCAUAUAUUGAUAAUCAUCCUCCCAUGUCUUUGACUUCCCACAUGCUCGUUCUUGCUGUUUCAGCAGAGAAGUGAGUGGGAGGGAGAGCUGUUUUGGAAAAAGAUGGGUUGAGCCUAUUCUAGAGCAGCAGGCAAGUUCUCCAAUUUUCCCAUGUAAUUAUUUUCUUCCAUGAAGCAGGAGACGUCAAGGGGAGUGAGGAAUCACAUUGGACAACUUACUGGGACAGAAAUUGCAGCUGAUCUAUGGGAAUUAUUCCGCUUUAGCCCAAUAGUUAUUUUAAACAGUAAAAUUAUUUUAAAUAGUUAUUUUAAAUAACUAUUUAAAUUAAAUAUUUUAAAUAGUUAUUUUAAAUAACUAUUUAAAUUAAAUAUUUUAAAUAGUUAAAUAGUAAAUUUACUUGGCUUCAACCCUCUCCUACCCCAUCUCUCAAACCUUGUGAACUCCAAAUUUGAGAAUUGCUUUAUGGCAUUAAAAAAAUUGUGAAAAUUUCUGUGUCUCAGCUUAUAUUUAGUUGGCUAUGGGUAUCAAAAUUAAUCCAAUUAACUGAAUCAGUUAAAAGGUUGCUAUCUCUGGAGGGCAUUGCUGUCGUAGUAUAAUAUUUUUAGAAUUAAUGGUCAUUUUCUCUAAUUGUUAAAGUGGCUUAUAUUCUUGAAGCAUUUUUGAGUGUCUUAUUGCAUUCAUUUAAAAAAGGAACAUAAGGUUUUGCAGUAAAAGCUAUAUCUGGCACUUUAUCAAUAGGAAAGCUCUAGACACAGGCAUUUCUGUCAUUCCCAAAGACAAAUCUUCAGUUUAACAAUCAUCAAUGUCUGACUAUUAUGUUUAAAUAAGGUUAUUAGUAGUUAUUUAUACCUCUGGUUUUUAAAAAGAAAACAAUGUUAAAAAUUCUCGUUAUGCAGCAGUAAUGGUUUUUAUGAAUCUGUGCAUUCUAACUGACUUCUUGUGGAAAUAGAGGUAGAGCAAAGAGAAGGUAAGGGAGAAUUAUUUGGGGCCACCUGUUACACUAAAUUUUUGUUAACUGAAGUCUUUGACCUAUUAUUUACUAUUAGUCUUCAAUUUGCUAACUCAGCGAAGCUCUAUUCAGUUAUCUUCAUUUUAUAAACAAGAAGAAUGAAGUAUAUUACUUUGGGGAUCUGUGGUCAUGAAGUCAGUCUUUUGAUGUGAUUAUUAUAUAAUUAAACUUUUUCACAUACAGCAUAACAUUCUACCUUUAGUACUGUCUGGCAUAGUCAGAGGAGAAAUUUUUCCCUUCAGCUUCAAAUGUUUCUUUAAAUUGACCUUAUCCUAGUGGGUUUGUUGGGAAAAAUUCAUUUUAAGGCUUAUGGUAAAACUCUUUAGGAGUUAGAAUCCCUUUUUUUCUGAAUUUCCUUUCUCUUUAAAAAUGAAAGGGUUCUUAUGCAUCUUACUUUCUGUCUCUCAACUAUGUGCUCAGUAUGUUAGUUUUGUUUCUAUAACCAGUACGCUGGGAGCGGACUCUUGGAGCUAUUGUAAGACAAAAGAAUCACCCAAUGACUCCUGAGGCAGUCAAGGCUAACUGGAAGAAGAUCUGUGACUUUGAGAAUGCCAGCAAGCCUCAGAGUAUCCAAGAAUCAACUGGCAGUAUAAUUGAAGUUCUGAGUAAAAUAGAUUCAGAAGGAGGAGUUUCAGCAAAUCAUACUAGUCGUGCAACGUCUACAGCAACAUCAGGAUUUGCUGGAGCUAUUGGCCAGAAACUCCCUCCAUUUUCUUAUGCUUAUACGGAACUGGAAGCUAUUAUGUAUGCCCUUGGAGUGGGAGCAUCAAUCAAGGAUCCAAAAGAUUUGAAAUUUAUUUAUGAAGGAAGUUCUGAUUUCUCCUGUUUGCCCACCUUCGGAGUUAUCAUAGGUCAGAAAUCUAUGAUGGGUGGAGGAUUAGCAGAAAUUCCUGGACUUUCAAUCAACUUUGCAAAGGUUCUUCAUGGAGAGCAGUACUUAGAGUUAUAUAAACCACUUCCCAGAGCAGGAAAAUUAAAAUGUGAAGCAGUUGUUGCUGAUGUCCUAGAUAAAGGAUCCGGUGUAGUGAUUAUUAUGGAUGUCUAUUCUUAUUCUGAGAAGGAACUUAUAUGCCACAAUCAGUUCUCUCUCUUUCUUGUUGGCUCUGGAGGCUUUGGUGGAAAACGGACAUCAGACAAAGUCAAGGUAGCUGUAGCCAUACCUAAUAGACCUCCUGAUGCUGUACUUACAGAUACCACCUCUCUUAAUCAGGCUGCUUUGUACCGCCUCAGUGGAGACUGGAAUCCCUUACACAUUGAUCCUAACUUUGCUAGUCUAGCAGGUUUUGACAAGCCCAUAUUACAUGGAUUAUGUACAUUUGGAUUUUCUGCCAGGCGUGUUUUACAGCAGUUUGCAGAUAAUGAUGUGUCAAGAUUCAAGGCAAUUAAGGCUCGUUUUGCAAAACCAGUAUAUCCAGGACAAACUCUACAAACUGAGAUGUGGAAGGAAGGAAACAGAAUUCAUUUUCAAACCAAGGUCCAAGAAACUGGAGACAUUGUCAUUUCAAAUGCAUAUGUGGAUCUUGCACCAACAUCUGAUACUUCAGCUAAGACACCCUCUGAGGGCGAGAAGCUUCAGAGUACCCUUGUAUUUGAGGAAAUAGGACGCCGCCUAAAGGAUAUUGGGCCUGAGGUGGUGAAGAAAGUAAAUGCUGUAUUUGAGUGGCAUAUAACCAAAGGCGGAAAUAUUGGGGCUAAGUGGACUAUUGACCUGAAAAGUGGUUCUGGAAAAGUGUACCAAGGCCCUGCAAAAGGUGCUGCUGAUACAACAAUCAUACUUUCAGAUGAAGAUUUCAUGGAGGUGGUCCUGGGCAAGCUUGACCCUCAGAAGCCUAUAAAUACAGUGGAUUAUAUGGAUUGAAUUUUGAAGGUUAAUCAGUCUUGCAUCCUUGGAAUAGAUCAGUCUUGCAUCCUUGGAAUAGACCCCACUUGGUCAUGCAGCUGAGACUUAUGGGCCAGAAGAUACUGGAAGAUGGUGUGGCCUUCUCUUGCAAGAGGGAGAAGAAAGAGCCAUGGAGAUAGUAGCAGACAGACUGCCCAAGGUAUGAAGCAGAUGAGGGACCAGCACUCAGUCUAACAUGUAAACAUCAUACGUAAUAAAGGUUGUGUUUCAAACCUUCCCUGGAUAUAUUAUUUAAUUAACAAAUUAAUCUACCUAUCUAUUCAUCAUUUUCUUUUUUUUUCCUUUUUCUUCUUCUUCUUCUUUUUUUUUUUGAGAUGGAGUUUCAUUUUUGUUGCCCAGGCUGGAGUGCGAUGGCAUGAUCUCGGCUCACUGCAACCUCUGCCUCCUGAAUUAAAGUGAUUCUCCUGCCUCAGCCUCCCAAGUAGCUGGGAUUACAGGCAUGUGCCAGCACACACAGCUAAUUUUGUAUUUUUUUUAGUAGAGAUGAGGUUUCACCAUGUUGGUCAGGCUGGUCUCGAACUCCUGGGCUCAAGUGAUCUACCCGCCUGGGCCUCCCAAAGUGCUGGGUUUGCAGGCGUGAGCCACGGCGCCCAGCCCUAUUCAUUAUUUUCAUCUAUCUCUCCAGUGGUUUGUGAAAGAAGUUUUACAUCAGCACUAAAGAUAUCUACCAGCCUUUUCCAGAGGCAGCAAUAGCCAAGCUCCUGGGUUUGAUUAGACUUCCGUGUGACAAUUUUUUCAAGGCUGGAUACCACAUUUCAUAUGAGACCAUGACAAACUCCACUACAUACCUAUGUUUCCAUCAUCCCGCUUUAUUAAGCUUAGCAUUUUUCUACGUUUGCUUCAGAUGGCUUUGAAGUAAAAAUGAUUACAAAUACAGCCAUAGUCCCCUGUUCCAUUGCCUUACAUAUGGAUUUUGAGUAUUUUUAAUACUUCUGUGCAUGUUUAAUACUAUUAUAUAAAUAUAUAAAAUGUUUUGAAUAUCUUGAAAGUUUCACAUACUAUUGUACUUCAUUAUUAGUUUUCAACAUGUUUUUAUUAAAAAACAGGUUUUUAAGAUUAUCCAUUGUCAUACACAUAUCUGUAGUUAACUAAUUUUUACUACUGUAUUAUAGUUCAUUCUAUGAAUAUGCCAACUUUUUAUUUAUUGUCUUUUUGAUGAAAUUUUAGUUGCAUCCAAAUUUCCUCUAUUACCACAGAAUGUGAGUCUCUCUCUAGAAUGUAUACCCAGACAUCCAUUGCUGUGCUGAAUUAUAUAGAUAUUUCAGUUUAGUAGUUACUGCCGUGGUGUAUUUCUUUCUUUGUUCAAGCAUUUUUUUUCUUUCUUUUUUCUUCAAUAAUGAUUAAUGCUUUUCUGCACAAAUGUUAUAUACAAUUUUUAUUCAAUGCAGUCCAAGAUAUCUUUUCUUUUCAUUCUCCUUGUAAAUGGUAUGUUUUUUCUAUUAUAUCUUAGAAUUGGUUAUUACUGAUGCAUAUUUUAAAUUUUCAUUUCACAUCUAGCAACCUUUUGGAAAUUUUUCAGGUGUAAGUAUUUCUAUAUAGUAUUCUGUAUUUUUCUAUAUUCAAUCAUAUUAAUACAAAUAAAAAG